GCGAACUUCGGGCCACGGGACGGGGGAAUAUGAAAGGUGCAAGCGUUAAUCGGAAUUACUGGGCGUAAAGCGCGCGUAGGUGGUUCAGUAAGUUGGAAGUGAAAUCCCCGGGCUCAACCUGGGAACUGCUUUCAAAACUGCUGAGCUAGAGUACGGUAGAGGGUGGUGGAAUUUCCUGUGUAGCGGUGAAAUGCGUAGAUAUAGGAAGGAACACCAGUGGCGAAGGCGACCACCUGGACUGAUACUGACACUGAGGUGCGAAAGCGUGGGGAGCAAACAGGAUUAGAUACCCCGGUAGUC
rnacentral:rRNA from 1 species